rnacentral:rRNA from 1 species
UACGAAGGGUGCAAGCGUUGUUCGGAAUCAUUGGGCGUAAAGCGCGCGCAGGCGGAUCAGCAAGUCAGAUGUGAAAUCUCGGGGCUCAACCUCGAAACUGCGUCUGAAACUGCUAGUCUAGAAUGUCGGAGGGGGCAGGGGAAUUUCACGUGUAGGGGUAAAAUCCGUAGAGAUGUGAAGGAACACCGGUGGCGAAGGCGGCGAUCUGGGUAGAUACUGACGCUGAGGUGCGAAAGCGUGGGGAGCAAACAGG